rnacentral:lncRNA from 10 species
CCAGAUUUGCCCUGCAACAUCCUGACAUUCUUCCCUAAGGUUCUAGCAGAAGAGCUGAUGACAUCUUUGCCCCUUGCCCUGACCCACCCACCUCUCUUUGUCCCCAAGAGACAUCAAUAGGCAUAGCUCAGAGAUAUUAUGGGUGAGUUCCAGAACACCCCAAUAAAGCAAGUCAUGCAAAUUUUUGAUUUCCCAGUGCAUAUACAAGUUAUAUUCACACGAUGCUCUAGUCUAUUAGGUGUGCACUGAAUCACGUUAUAUCUAAAAAACAAUGUACAUACCUUAAUUUUAAAAUACUUUAUUGCUAAAAAUGCUAACCAUCACCUGUCUUCUGCCAGUCAUCAUCUCUAUGCUGGUGGAGGUCUUGCCUUGAUGUUGAUGGCUGCUGACUGAUCAGGGUGGUGGUUGCUGAAGGUGGAGGCAGCUGUGGCAAUUUCUUAAAAUAAGGCAACAAUGAAGUUCGCUGCAGCAAUGAACUCUUCCUUUCAUGAAAGCUUUCUCUGUAGCAUGCAAUGCUGUUUGAUGGCAUUUUACUCAUACUAGAACUUCUUUCAAAAUUGGAACCAAGACUCCCCAACCCUGCUGCUGCUUUACCAACUAGGUUUAUAUAGCAGUCUAAAUCCUUUGUUGUCAUUUCAAGAAUGUUCGCAGUAUCUUCACCAGGAAUAGAUGCCAUCUCAAGAAACCACUUUCUUUGCUCAUCCAUAAGAAGCAACUCAUCUGUUCAAGCUUUCUCAUGAGAUUGCAGCAAUUCAGUCCCAUCUUCAUAUUCCACUU